rnacentral:rRNA from 1 species
AGAGUUUGAUCCUGGCUCAGAUUGAACGCUGGCGGAAUGCUUUACACAUGCAAGUCGAACGGCAGCACGGGGGCAACCCUGGUGGCGAGUGGCGAACGGGUGAGUAAUGUAUCGGAACGUACCAGUCGUGGGGGAUAACUAUCCGAAAGGAUAGCUAAUACCGCAUACGUCCUGAGGGAGAAAGCGGGGGACCUGCAAGGGCCUCGCGCGAUUGGAGCGGCCGAUAUCGGAUUAGCUAGUUGGUGAGGUAAAGGCUCACCAAGGCGACGAUCCGUAGCGGGUCUGAGAGGACGACCCGCCACACUGGAACUGAGACACGGUCCAGACUCCUACGGGAGGCAGCAGUGGGGAAUUUUGGACAAUGGGAGAAACCCUGAUCCAGCCAUUCCGCGUGAGUGAAGAAGGCCUUCGGGUUGUAAAGCUCUUUCAGCAGGAACGAAACGGUCGGCUUUAAUAAAGUCGGCUAAUGACGGUACCUGCAGAAGAAGCACCGGCUAACUACGUGCCAGCAGCCGCGGUAAUACGUAGGGUGCGAGCGUUAAUCGGAAUUACUGGGCGUAAAGCGUGCGCAGGCGGCGACAUAAGACAGAUGUGAAAUCCCCGGGCUCAACCUGGGAACUGCGUUUGUGACUGUGUUGCUAGAGUGUAGCAGAGGGGGGGUGGAAUUCCACGUGUAGCAGUGAAAUGCGUAGAGAUGUGGAGGAACACCGAUGGCGAAGGCAGCCCCCUGGGUUAACACUGACGCUCAUGCACGAAAGCGUGGGGAGCAAACAGGAUUAGAUACCCUGGUAGUCCACGCCCUAAACGAUGCCAACUAGGUGUUGGGGGAGGAGACUUCCUUAGUACCGUAGCUAACGCGUGAAGUUGGCCGCCUGGGGAGUACGGUCGCAAGAUUAAAACUCAAAGGAAUUGACGGGGACCCGCACAAGCGGUGGAUGAUGUGGAUUAAUUCGAUGCAACGCGAAAAACCUUACCUACCCUUGACAUGUCCAGAAUCCCGAAGAGAUUUGGGAGUGCUCGAAAGAGAGCUGGAACACAGGUGCUGCAUGGCUGUCGUCAGCUCGUGUCGUGAGAUGUUGGGUUAAGUCCCGCAACGAGCGCAACCCUUAUCAUUAGUUGCCAUCAUUUAGUUGGGCACUCUAAUGAGACUGCCGGUGACAAACCGGAGGAAGGUGGGGAUGACGUCAAGUCCUCAUGGCCCUUAUGGGUAGGGCUUCACACGUCAUACAAUGGUCGGUACAGAGGGUUGCCAACCCGCGAGGGGGAGCUAAUCUCACAAAGCCGAUCGUAGUCCGGAUCGCAGUCUGCAACUCGACUGCGUGAAGUCGGAAUCGCUAGUAAUCGUGGAUCAGCAUGUCACGGUGAAUACGUUCCCGGGUCUUGUACACACCGCCCGUCA